UUGUUCAAAAUUCGAACUUGUCAGCCUCUUUACAUUGUAGAACAACUGCUGGAGUUAUGCCUAGCCUCGACUGAUUCAUGGUUAAGGUGGUCGAGAUUCGAGAAGCGGUCUUGCUAAAUCAUGUAGAUGACAUGUUUGGGAGAGGGAUUACACAUCAUGACUAGAUUGAUGUAGCAAUCAGUAGCACGAGUAUUGUGUUGUCAAUGAUUAAAACAAGACACCAUUUCACCUCUUCGUAUAGCAAUAGCCAUUUUGGCGUCGAUAACGCGACGGCCUAGUCAAGGUCCCUCAAUGCCAGCCUAACCCUCAAGGUGGUCUUUCGUAUCCGACCAAUUUAUGAACUUUGAAAGCAAGAAGAUUGUCUAGUCUUGCUUUGUCGGGUAUCCACUCAACAAACUCAACCGGUCGGCUAACUUAAAUUGUCAAGUUCGGAAACUCAAAAACUAGAGCAUAAACGUUUUGCUUUGUCAGGUAUCCAUUGUUCUACUGUGCUUUGUUGUUCUCUUCAGUUCACUAUCUAUUCAGAAAACAUCAAAUUCGAAAUGAGCGAAAAGCAAAAAGAUGGAUGAUCAUCUAUCUAUACUCUUCCGGUAAGCGAUAUCCUGGCAUGACGAUUUUGUUGGCGAGCAUCUGCCCAGUCUUGGGCAUGAUAUGCCAGUGCAUUGUCAGGUUGAACUCUUUGCCCCGGAGGUUGCUUCCCUACACGAGGAACGACAGUGUUCAGACCAAAAACUUGAACAAUCUAACCACGGGGUUACAGUGCAGCUAAAACCAAACUACCGAAACACAACCGUAUUAAGUACCCAAAACCGAAUCGAGUCCAAAAUACUCAAUAACCACGUCAACAUCCUUUUGUGUCCAACUCUUAGCACCAUGUUCACAUAACUCUGCAACCAUUAGGAUCCUCUUGACUCCUGUAGUCAUCAGUCCAAAUGUGACGUGGGGGAAUAUAGCAAUAUGCACCAUCGCGGCUAUCCAAACAAGGCACUGCGUGCACAUUUGCGUGAUUAUCUGCUUCGUCAUGAACGACAUCGUUGUGUUUCUCUUCUUCUUCUUCUUCUUCUUCUUCUUCUUCUUCUUCUUCUUCUUCUUCUUCUUCUUCUUCUUCUUCUUCUUCUUCUUCUUCUUCUUCUUCUUCUUCUUCUUCUUCUUCUUCUUCUUCUUCUUCUUCUUCUUCUUCUUCUUCUUCUUCUUCUUCUUCUUCUUCUUCUUCUUCUUCUUCUUCUUCUUCUUCUUCUUCUUCUUCUUCUUCUUCUUCUUCUUCUUCUUCUUCUUCUUCUUCUUCUUCUUCUUCUUCUUCUUCUUCUUCUUCUUCUUCUUCUUCUUCUUCUUCUUCUUCUUCUUCUUCUUCUUCUUCUUCUUCUUCUUCUUCUUCUUCUUCUUCUUCUUCUUCUUCUUCUUCUUCUUCUUCUUCUUCUUCUUCUUCUUCUUCUUCUUCUUCUUCUUCUUCUUCUUCUUCUUCUUCUUCUUCUUCUUCUUCUUCUUCUUCUUCUUCUUCUUCUUCUUCUUCUUCUUCUUCUUCUUCUUCUUCUUCUUCUUCUUCUUCUUCUUCUUCUUCUUCUUCUUCUUCUUCUUCUUCUUCUUCUUCUUCUUCUUCUUCUUCUUCUUCUUCUUCUUCUUCUUCUUCUUCUUCUUCUUCUUCUUCUUCUUCUUCUUCUUCUUCUUCUUCUUCUUCUUCUUCUUCUUCUUCUUCUUCUUCUUCUUCUUCUUCUUCUUCUUCUUCUUCUUCUUCUUCUUCUUCUUCUUCUUCUUCUUCUUCUUCUUCUUCUUCUUCUUCUUCUUCUUCUUCUUCUUCUUCUUCUUCUUCUUCUUCUUCUUCUUCUUCUUCUUCUUCUUCUUCUUCUUCUUCUUCUUCUUCUUCUUCUUCUUCUUCUUCUUCUUCUUCUUCUUCUUCUUCUUCUUCUUCUUCUUCUUCUUCUUCUUCUUCUUCUUCUUCUUCUUCUUCUUCUUCUUCUUCUUCUUCUUCUUCUUCUUCUUCUUCUUCUUCUUCUUCUUCUUCUUCUUCUUCUUCUUCUUCUUCUUCUUCUUCUUCUUCUUCUUCUUCUUCUUCUUCUUCUUCUUCUUCUUCUUCUUCUUCUUCUUCUUCUUCUUCUUCUUCUUCUUCUUCUUCUUCUUCUUCUUCUUCUUCUUCUUCUUCUUCUUCUUCUUCUUCUUCUUCUUCUUCUUCUUCUUCUUCUUCUUCUUCUUCUUCUUCUUCUUCUUCUUCUUCUUCUUCUUCUUCUUCUUCUUCUUCUUCUUCUUCUUCUCUUACUGUUAGUUUUUGAAGAAAUAGAUAGACUUGUGGCUGCUCAAGAUCCGGCAUACAGUGGUUUCGUACGGUCAUUGAGUAUUGAGGAUAUUCGAGGAUAAAGAAAAUGUGGAAAAGUAAUUGUUUAAAAGUUGGACGAUCUUGAAUUAUGUUGUUUGGUAUUCAUAUUUGGUAGAUAAAAUUAUAGUGAAAAAUAAAAUUAAGAAUAACUUUGAAUGGUGUAUGCUUGUAUGAUAAGCAAAAGGUUGCAUCCAAUAGAACACUAGAUCGAAAUUUGGUGUCGAAAAUGCGAGGGGCCUAAGCCGAGGUCACAAGAUCGAAAUUUUGUCACAUUCACUGCGGUGGUCUCUCGUAUCCGACCAAUUUAAGAACUUGAAAGCAAGAAGAUUGUCUAGUCUUUCACAUUUGACACACUCAGUUUGUCAAGUUCGGAAACUCAAAAACUAGAACAUAAACGUUUUGCUUUGUCAGGUAUCCAUUGUUCUACUGGUGUUGUUUUGUUCUCUUCAGUUCACCAUCUAUUCAGAAAACACCGAAUUCGAAAUGAGCGAAAAGCUGAAAGAUGGAUGAUCAUCUAUCUAUACUCUUCCGGUAGGCGAUAUCCUGGCAUGACGAUUUUGUUGGCGAGCAUCUUCCCGGUCUUGGGCAUGAUAUGCCAGUGCAUUGUCAGGUUAAACUCUUUGCCCCGGAGGUUGCUUCCCUACACGA
rnacentral:lncRNA from 1 species